AGCCGAGAUAUGUGUGUAUCAGAAUUGUGCUUUAAAAAAUGCACUUUAAUCUGAGAGAUUUCUCUGCAAAAUUGAGUUUUGUUGUAGGAAGGUUUUCUUUCUUUUCUCUUGAUUAUAUACGGAAGAGAUAACUCCAAUAUUCGCGAAUUGGAUACCUUCCGCUGAUUUGAUACCAUUUCUCUAUCAUAUUGUUUUGGGGGGAUCUUAUUCGCGAAGUGUGGGGUUGUUUCGCCCUAUAUAUUCACGUGUCUGCUACCCCUGGUUACAUUUCGUUUCUCUAUUCACUCUACAGUUUUAACUGCUUUAUACUAGGGUCUCUAUUCUCUAGAUGACUAGACGAAAUCCUUAUUAUAUUUUGUUUCGUUUAAAGGAUAGGCGGAUAAGGCGUCUGCUUUUUUUUCUAGCUCUAUCUCAUGCUUACUGUUUAUCCAUUAGAAAAGUCGUUUGUUGUCUCUUCAUUUUUACCAUCUAGCCUCAAUCAUAUGUUAUAAAAACGUUUCUGCUGUUGGAGUAGAUUUCAGACAAAAGUAGGCAGAAGUUGCUAAUAAGAUGCCUUCUGAAAUCUACUCUAGAAAUGAGAGCACUUAUAUAAAAUAUGAUCGGGACUAGAUUGUAAAAAGGAAAAGAAAAAGCAAACGUCUUUUCGGAUAAAUUACUAGUAGGUUUGGGGUAGAGAGGGAAAAACAUACGUCUUAUUUGCCUCUGAAAAUCGCAUUGGACCUGUACAUAUUUUUAAAUGAAACAAAAUCUAAUAAAUAUCUGCUUGGGAGGGUCUCGUUUCGUCUUUGUAGAGAGUAUAGACUAGCUAAACUCUAGAGUCUAGAGUGAGUAGAGUAAUGAGUUGUAUUUCAUCUCUUGCAUGCGUAUCAGUACAAUUUAGCGCAUUUUUCUUGGCAUAAGUAACAGUCUGUGAGUUGGUCAGGAACAAUUUUUAAUGCUUUGUAUGGAGUUCUAAAAUCUAAGAUAAGAUCAUGUGGGAUCUAUCCAGAAUGAACUGUUCCAUUCCAUUCUUGGUACAUAUGAGGUCCUGAAAUGAGCCUCAUCUAGUAAUUUGUCUUCUGUGAUCAAACAUUUGCAUGUAAAAGAUUAGUUUGUUAAAGGGGUACUCAGGUUUUCAAAGUUUUCACUCACUCUUAAGUUCUUAAGUAAAUUAAUGCUGAGUACCAGUAUUGCAAAUUUAAAUUUGAUGAGGUACAGUACUUUGACAGAACGAAGAUAUCAAUUACACUCUCUGCAACUGUAAUAGCAUAGCAAUUACACUCUCUCCAGCUGUAGUAUUCCACCUGAGCAUCUGAGCUUGGUAUACAAUGGUAACGGCUUUGUCCUAGAGUAAAACUGAAGAUGAACAUUAACAAGAGAAAGAAAGGUAGUAUUGCAGUAGACAACAAAGGAAGGAAAUCUAUUUAUGUCGUUUGAGAAGGAUUGGUAGAAUAUUUCUCCAAAUUCUGUUGUGAAAUAGUCUUUCUCAUAUUAUUAAUUAUUAAGCAUAUCCUUAAAUGGGUUCUGCACAUUAUACUCGUGCUCGAGUAUUGACAUGUAACAAAAAGAUCAGUAUCAGUAUUUGAAAUUUAUUAUUUAACUGCUGUAGCAGGUGUGGUGUGUAAGAGGACGAGGAAGCAAGGAUGAAAAUCUACUCAGUGUCAGUGAGAUGCUACUUUGCUUUUGGAGGCCCUGUUUCAGAGGACCCGUCACAGAAGAUAACAGAACUUCCUGGAGUGCGUUGGGUCCUCCCUGAUUCUUACAUGGAUAUUAGAAGUAGAAGUCAUGGUCAUGGAGUCUACAUCUAUAUGUUUCGUCUGCUGCAUUUCGUUGUUUGUGUUUCAAAUUCUUUGUGAACAAGGAUUUCAAUUGUUACCUGUGUGCAUACAGGUUUGUACUUUGAAUUGAAUUCUUCAGCAGUCUUGUUUGGUUUA